rnacentral:sRNA from 1 species
UUUCCGGACCUGGCCGAGCAGGAGGCGCCAUCAUGGUGAGCUCGGUUUGCGGCUGUCGGGGCUGGAUAAUCCGCUGCCAUCCGCUGUGGUUUUGGGCUAGGGGCACGCUGGAGGGCGGCAGGGGGCCUGCGGCUGCCCGGAGGGAGCAACUCCCGAUACUGGGGGCCUACUCUGGGGGCCAGGAGAGCAGGGAUGGGUCAGAGUCAUAAUCUAUCGCCCCCACUGAGUAGAUGACCAAGUUGAGGCACUCGGAGGCUGAUAUGACUGGGUUUACAAAGCCAGGAAGUGGCAGAGCCAGGAUUCCGACCCAGGGGGCUGGCCCCGCAGCCACUCUUAGUUACUUGGCUUUGCUGCCUCUAUCUAGGCACUAAGUGACAGACGGAUCUGUCACUUUCUAGUAUGAAAAGUCGGGUUCGAUGGGGGCCGCGGCGGGCGAGAGGAUCGAGAGUCGAAUAACUGGAUUUGGGGACCAGGCAGGUCUCUGAGUCUCAGGCCCCUUCCUACCUUGUGAUGGUUUUUGAGCCUUUGCCCCAGUGUAUGGCUGUUCGUUGGGUACACAGUAAUCUCAUCUGACAAGUUUGUGAAUUUGGGAAGAAAUAAUUCACAGGAAAUUCUCAUCACGGGGUUUUGCACACAGUAAGUGCUGCAUAAGUGGAGCUAUUAAAUAGUUCUUGUAAUUGUCAACACAGUCUGAAAAACUUCAGUUACUCAGAUAGGCAGCAGGGCGGUAGGAGCCUGGCGAGGCGACUCACGCUUGUUAUCCUAGCACUUUGGGAGGCUGAGGCGGAAGGAUUCCUUGCCCAGGAGAUCAAGACCAGCCUGGCCAAUAUUGUGAGACCCUGUCUCCACUUUUAAAACAAUGUUUUAAAAAGACACUGUUUGGUAAGAGUUGUUGGAUUGACUGAUACUGUAGGAGAGGUAGUUCUAGUAGUAUUGCUAGGUUCUGAAUAAGGAUUCGUUUUCAUCAUUACUGCCAUUGGUUUGAUAUUUUUGGUUAUCCUACGGGUAUGGGAGCCAGUUUUGAUAACAUUGUUGCAAAAUACAAGUUGUAAAGAAUUGACCUUUUUGUAUUAAGUUAAUAUGAUUGCUGUGUUACGAUGUUUCGGGGUUCUGUGUGCCAUGGGCUGAAGGCCUUGUAAACAGCCCCUUUUUACAGAGGGAUCAGUGGCAGCCCAGAGGUCUCCUGGUGGCGGGCCUGGGAUUUGAGCUGGUGUGUUCAGAGCUGGGCUUGUGUCCCAGCUCUCAGUUUCAGAAAUAAGUAAUAAUUGGCUAUGGUUGCGGGUAAUUGGGUCCAUGGUUGCCUCUUCACCCCCACAGGGAGUGGACAUCCGCCACAACAAGGACCGAAAGGUUCGGCGCAAGGAGCCCAAGAGCCAGGAUAUCUACCUGAGGCUGUUGGUCAAGGUGAGGCUGGGCCCUGAGGUCUUUGGGAAGGGUCACCCCAGGUCUGACUUGCAGAUCCUCCAUUCUAGUGCUGGCACCAAGCUCCUCCCAGGGGCCUGCAGGGCAGUCUCGGGUCUCUGGUUCUGUUCCAGGGCCUCCUGCAUUUGUAUUUUCAGCCUCUAGGCUGUGUACAGCUCGGGAUUGGAGGCAGGAUUUUCUAGGUCCUUGGCCAGGAAGGACCUGGGCCAGCUUUCUCCCUCUAGGUCGGUGGGUUGGGGGAAAGGGAUAAAGAUUCUUUUAGUCCAGAUCAUCAUGUGUUUGCCUCUUCACUGGAAGGCUGCGGGGGAGCGGGCUGUUCCAGCUUCUCACUCUCUUCCCGUCCCUCCAGUUAUACAGGUUUCUGGCCAGAAGAACCAACUCCACAUUCAACCAGGUUGUGUUGAAGAGGUUGUUUAUGAGUCGCACCAACCGGCCGCCUCUGUCCCUUUCCCGGAUGGUGAGUGGCUGGUCCAGAGAGCACAGUAGACCUGGGAGCCACUGGGUCUUGUCUGUCUGGAAGGGAGGCAGGACUUGGAGCUCUGGGAGCAACCGGGGCAUCAAGGGUUUGUCUCAGCCAGUCGCGAGCUUAGAGCUUGGACUGUUGGUUGGAACUGAGUGUCCAUGGGCAGUGGGCAAGGCUCCUGGUCCUCCUCUCCUUCUCUUUGUGAGGUGGAGGUGUCCUGGUGGCUUCAGGAGAUUGCCCCAAGUCAUAACUGAGGUUUAUGUUAAAGGCCCUGCCGAGGGAGGCCCUAUUGAACAGUCUGCAUUUUUUUUUUUUAUCUGGAGCUUUCCCCAGCUGGAUCUGAGGAGAGGCCUGUGGGGUUUAAGGGGUGUGGUGUGAGUGGGGGGGUCCCGUUAGAGGGCACAGCUGCCCUGGUCUGGGGAUGCCUCAAGUGGGGCUGAAUGUAAACACCAGAACGACUUACGAUGUACAUCCUCCCCGCCCUAAGAUCCGGAAGAUGAAGCUUCCUGGCCGGGAAAACAAAACAGCCGUGGUUGUGGGGACCAUAACGGAUGACGUGCGGGUUCAGGAGGUGCCCAAACUGAAGGUGAGCUGGCGGGGGCUAGGCAGACCCAUCAGAUCCUUGCUGUGCUGUGCUGUGCUGGUCCAUCCUUAGUCUUGCCACCGCUGGUGAGGCAAGCAUCCUGCCUGUCUGAGUGGCUUUGAGGAUUGGUGUGGGUCGUCUCUGGCAUUGUUGAUGGUGGGGUCCCCUGGGCAAGCUUCUUCUGGGGCAAGUUGUAAGCUGUUAGUGCUGGCCCCUAGAGCCAGACAGCCUGGGCUCAAGUCUAGACUCCUUUGUCACCUCUGAACAAGUCAUUUUUUUGGCCCAGCCUACUUGCUGUUGUUUGUAGCAUAACACUAGGGAUGUGGUGUUAAAAGUUCCUAGAGAUAAAGUGUUGAGAACAGCUGCUGUCAGCCCAGGGUGCUCCAGGUAAUAAAUGAUAGUGUUGGUUACCAGGGCUCUGCUGUGCCAAGGCAGUGGAGGGUGAGUCCUGUCAGCCCCUGGGUGACCACGCAGGGGUCUGACCCGCCAGCCUUGUCCUUUCCACCAGGUAUGUGCACUGCGCGUGACCAGCCGGGCCCGCAGCCGCAUCCUCAGGGCAGGGGGCAAGAUCCUCACUUUCGACCAGCUGGCCCUGGACUCCCCUAAGGGCUGCGGCACUGUCCUGCUCUCCGGUGAGUGAUGCGAAGUCAAUGGGGUUGGAGUGAGCUGUGUGGCUACUGGCAGCCUUCACCCUUCUGGAUCUGGGAGGCCAGAAGCUGGGCGCCAGAUCCCUGUCUCACUCGGUUCUCCUUCCCCUUCCCUAGGUCCUCGCAAGGGCCGAGAGGUGUACCGGCAUUUCGGCAAGGCCCCAGGAACCCCGCACAGCCACACCAAGUGAGUAUCAGGCCCCCAGCCCUGCCCUCUCCCCAGACUCAGCCUGCAGGGCCAGGCCUGGCCACGCUUGGGCUGCUUCUCCUGUCCCUCGUACCAGCCAACCCCAGGCCUUCUGGAACUCUCAGCUGCCUCAUCUUGCCUGCUUUUCCCUUCAACACUGCUUGGAGCUGUGUUUUCCAGGGCCUGAGCAGGCAUCUCCUGGGGAGCAUGCGGUUCACCGGCCUCUGCAAGCCCAGGCUGGGACCCUCCAGGUGGUGGGGCAGGUGCUUCCGUAGCCCCUCCUGGCUCCUUGGCUUCCCACUCUGCCAAGCUUUUCCAGCAGCCAUGGACUCUCCUGGGGCUGAAUGUGACAGGCUUGUGGUGUUCCUGUGCCACUCCACAAUGGCCUCCUGUAAGAGGGCCCCCCCUCACUCCUUCCUCUCCCCACAGACCCUACGUCCGCUCCAAGGGCCGGAAGUUCGAGCGUGCCAGAGGCCGACGGGCCAGCCGAGGCUACAAAAACUAACCCUGGAUCCUGCUCUCUUAUUAAAACGAUUUUGAAUGCUGAC